GCAUUACGAGCCCAAGCUUACAACCCAAAGGACUUGACGGUGUUCCACCCACCUAGAGGAGCCUGUUCUAUAAUCGAUUUUCCCCGAUCAACCCCGCCAUCUUUUGAAUACUCAGCCUGUAUACCUCCGUCGCAAGCUUACCCUAUGAAUGCACUUAGUGAGCCCAAUGAUUUAACACCCACACGUCAGGUCAAGGUGCAGCCCACAAGAUGGAAAGAAAUGGGCUACAAUUUCUACCCUAGAACAAACGAAAGACUACAUGAAACACAGCCACUGAAGGCGGAUUUAGUAGUAAAAAGAAAAUAGAGAGUUCUUUUUAAUCAGGCACUGGAACGCGUACACACCGCCCGUCACCCUCUUCAAACACAAAUAUUAUGUUAUUGACACCACACACAAAACAGAAGAGGUAAGUCGUAACACGGUAAGCGUACUGGAAAGUGCGCUUGGAAUAACAAAAUGUAACUUAAUAAAAGUAUCUUGCUUACACCAAGAACAUGUCUGUGAAACCCCGACCAUCUUGAGCUUAAAGCCCAGCCCCACUAAACUUAAUGAACCAG
rnacentral:rRNA from 1 species